GUACACGAUCCAUCUACCCAAAACCCUUAAAAUCUGAAAUCCCAAAAUUCCCAAAUCUGACGCCUCAGUCUCAUCUCCUGGACUCCGGUCACUCCGCCAGUCCACAGCCGGCCGCUUCGGACGCCGUUUCGGCUUUGUGAAUUGCUCAUGAGUUGUGAGGUGGAAUUCUCAAAGGUGAAAUUCCACAAUUUUCGUCGAAAUUCUACUUCUCAAGUUAAUCAUUGAGCAUUAGAUAUGGAUUCAUACACUAUGUCUCCUAAAUAUGAGUCUGGUGCUCAAGA